GGGCCCGCACAAGCGGUGGAGCAUGUGGUUUAAUUCGACGCAACGCGAAGAACCUUACCUACACUUGACAUCCUCGGAACUUUCUAGAGAUAGAUUGGUGCCUUCGGGAACCGAGUGACAGGUGCUGCAUGGCUGUCGUCAGCUCGUGUCGUGAGAUGUUGGGUUAAGUCCCGUAACGAGCGCAACCCUUAUCCUUAAUUGCCAGCGGUUAGGCCGGGAACUCUAAGGAGACUGCCGAUGACAAAUCGGAGGAAGGUGGGGACGACGUCAAGUCAUCAUGGCCCUUACGUGUAGGGCUACACACGUGCUACAAUGGCCGGUACAAACGGUUGCGAACCCGCGAGGGGAAGCUAAUCCGAGAAAGCCGGUCUCAGUUCGGAUUGAGGUCUGCAACUCGACCUCAUG
rnacentral:rRNA from 1 species